CGUAUGCCGCGUUUGGGAAGCCCUUUUGAUCUUCGAAAGUUGGAAACAGUAAACGGGAAAUCUCCGAACGGAAGAAACGAGAAAAAGCUGAUACGAAGCCAUAAUAAGGUUGAAGAUGAUGAGGGAGAGAUCGCUGAAGUUCGUUGUUUCAGCGUCUUUGCUUCUUCUAGCAACCUGUUUCUACAGUGCGAUUUCGUCCGAUGCUUCCGGUGACGGUGCGGCUUCAACUGCUACCACAAUGCACACUAACAACUGGGCCGUUUUGGUCUGCACCUCUCGCUUUUGGUUUAACUACCGUCACAUGGCAAACACUCUGUCUUUAUACAGAACUGUAAAACGGUUGGGCAUACCAGAUGAAAGAAUUAUUCUGAUGUUGGCUGAUGAUAUGGCUUGCAAUGCACGGAACAAAUACCCUGCUCAAGUCUUUAAUAAUGAAAACCAUAGGCUUAACUUGUAUGGAGAUAAUGUUGAGGUAGAUUAUCGAGGGUAUGAAGUAACUGUUGAGAACUUCUUCAGAGUCUUAACAGGCCGUCAUGAAGCUGCUGUCCCCCGGUCAAAACGUCUUUUAAGUGAUGAAGGAAGCCACAUACUGGUUUAUAUGACAGGGCAUGGUGGAGAUGAGUUCUUAAAAUUUCAGGAUGCAGAGGAGCUUCAGAGUCAUGAUUUAGCUGAUGCAGUAAAACAAAUGAAAGAAAAGCGUAGAUUCAAGGAGCUGUUAAUAAUGGUUGAUACUUGCCAAGCUGCUACACUUUUCUCUCAGCUUCAUUCACCUGGUGUUUUGGCUAUUGGAAGUAGCAAGAAAGGAGAAAAUUCCUAUUCACACCACUUAGACUCUGAUGUUGGUGUCUCAGUUAUAGAUCGAUUCACAUUUUAUACCCUUGCCUUUUUUGAGAGGGUAAAUAUGUAUAGCAACGCCUCAUUAAGCAGUCUCUUCAAUUCAUAUAACCCAAAUUUGUUGAUGUCAACGGCAUAUUAUCGAACUGAUCUAUACCCGCGUCUACUGGAGGAGGUGCCCGUGACAAACUUUUUUGGUUCAGUCAUGGAGACAAUCCACACUGAUUCUGCAUACAAGGCUUUCUCUACUGAAAGGGCUACAAUCAAGAAGCCAGUGGAUCAAUCAGACCAUUACAUACGAAGAACACUAUCUAGUUCUGGUGAGCAAGAGCAAACUAGUGACUCAAAUACCAAGGGUCAACCAGUAAAUUGUCCUUUCACACGUUUUUGGAGUUCUAUCCACAUCAAGAUGGAAAGGAUCAAGGAUGUGGAUAGCCUGAUGUCAUAUGGCAUGGCAUUAAUGCUCCCCUUGGUGGCGAUUUCCUCUUGGCUGUCACAUUGAUGAUUGUAAGUAGCUUACUCCCAUUCUGUUUGAUCUUUCCAUGUGCACAUCUUUUUGCACCAAAAAGCUGUCGUUUUCAUGAAGAAUGUAAAUCACGAGCCUUAUCAGAAACCGUCGCGAUGGAAGAACUGAAUUCCCAAAUGCAACUGAUGUCAACCGGUUGAUUGAACGAGAUGAAAUUGUAUUUAGCCACGAACAACCUUAUGCUCAAAUUUAAUAUCCCUGACUAGUUAGUCCCUCAGAUAGGGUAUAGGACUUCACUUUAUUUUUUCUCUAAUCUGUAAAAUUGCAAAUUUAUUGGGUUUUUUUUUUUUUUUUUUUUUUUUUUUUUUUUUUUUUUUUUUUUUUUUCUGAUUUAGUGCCUGUAUAUUUGGUAUUGUUGUAUGGUCGUUUUGUAUUGAUGUAAGACUACAUCAUUGAGUACUUCACACUUGAAUUGCAUGGAUAUAGGCUGCCCUCUUUUUUUUGCCUUCCAAGGGAGAUAAACAAAAACUUAUAUAACAAUGCCUGUUGGCACUAGUGUUCAUAAUA